CAUUGCUAGAUGAUCACUUCGAUUGGUACAAAAAUUUAUUUCUAUACUACUGACUUAGGUUCAGACCUAUGAGGUCACACACAUUAGAGUUCAUGAUUCGAUCGGAUGGUUGAUCAACGAUUAAGAAUCGUUCUAGGAUUAAAUGAUCAAUACGAUUGACAUUUAACCUAGUGCAAGUGUUGCAGGAGGAUCGAUUAGCAAUUCGAUUGCUAAUUG
rnacentral:lncRNA from 1 species